UUCGACAAAGACUCAUCGAGUUAACCCUCCAGCCUGGCGUGUGGGCACCUCUGGGGUCCUGCAGUCCAGGUCUCACUGCCAGGAACACAGCUCAGAAGAGGAACAGACUGGAAGAGAGAUGAAAGCAGUUGGGGACAGGAGGCAGAAGUCCUAUAAAAGAUAAGGAUAUGAACUUUGAGGAUGUGGCCAUUGCCUUCUCUCCAGAGGAGUGGGGAAUCCUUGAUGAGGCUCAGAGACUUCUGUACUGCAAAGUGAUGCUGGAAGUAUUUGCACUUGUAUCAUCUGUAGGUAAGACCCUCACAUCUCUCCUAAUAGACUGAGGUGAUGGCAUCUCUUCCUUUAUAUUCCACCUGUAGCUUUCUCUCUCCUACAGCCAGACCUUGGGCUCUGCAAAUUGUCCUCACUCUCAUGUGAAAUGUGCUAUGGAUGCCAGUGCUGAGCUGUGUGGAGAGCCCUGAGGAAUAGACUCCACAAACUUCUUUAACACUCUUUUCCUCAGAAAGUGCAGGAUGUGUCUGGGAGCCAGUCGUCUUACAGACAGCUUAAUGGGUCCCCCUUGCUGUUUCUCUCCCUGGGAGAGUGACUAUGUCUAGAUCCAUGGCUUCCACUUCUGCACCUUUCCUCCAGAUAAAGGUUCUGGGUGACUGCCUGUGCCAGGUUAUGUUUUUUACUUACAUGAACCAUGGGCUGUUCCUGUAAGACCCUCCUUCAAUUGGUGUUUGUAAUAUUAC